rnacentral:rRNA from 1 species
CCUACGGGAGGCAGCAGUGAGGAAUAUUGGACAAUGGGCGCGAGCCUGAACCAGCCAAGUCGCGUGGGUGAAGACGGUCCUAUGGACUGUAAACCUCUUUGGUCGGGGAGCAAAAGACGCCACGCGAGGCGUUCCGAGAGUACCCGAAGAAAAAGCAUCGGCUAGCUCCGUGCCAGCAGCCGCGGUAAUACGGGGGAUGCGAGCGUUAUCCGGAUUAAUUGGGUUAAACGGGUGCGCAGGCGGAAGAUCAAGUCAGCGUUAAAAUUGAGAGGCUCAACCUCUGCGAGCCGUUGAAACUGGUUGUCUUGAGUGAGUGAGAGGUAUGCGGAAUGCCUGGUGUAGCGGUGAAAUGCGUAGAUAUCACGCAGAACUCCGAUUGCGAAGGCAGCAUACCGGCGCUCAACUGACGCUCAUGCACGAAAGUGUGGGUAUCGAACAGGAUUAGAUACCCCUGUAGUC